rnacentral:rRNA from 1 species
GAUGAACGCUGGCGGCGUGCUUAACACAUGCAAGUCGAAUGUAGUUUACUACAUGGCGGACGGGUGAGUAACGCGUGAGCAAUCUGCCCAUAUCUGGGGGAUAACAGUUGGAAACGACUGAUAAUACCGCAUAAUAUCAUUUGAAGGCAUCUUCGUUUGAUCAAAGAUUUAUCGGAUAUGGAUGAGCUCGCGUCUGAUUAGCUUGUUGGUGAGGUAACGGCUCACCAAGGCGACGAUCAGUAGCCGACCUGAGAGGGUGAUCGGCCACAUUGGAACUGAGACACGGUCCAAACUCCUACGGGAGGCAGCAGUGGGGAAUAUUGGGCAAUGGAGGAAACUCUGACCCAGCAACGCCGCGUGAAUGAUGAAGGUCUUCGGAUUGUAAAGUUCUUUUCUUGGGGAAGAAGAAAG